GGAAGGAUCAUUAUUGAAAAAACUCCAGUUUUUUUAUAUCCUAUUGUCUACCUACCACGUUGCUUCCACUGGACUUGUCUUACCUUGUGUAAGACCUUUGGCUUGUGUGAAUAACUCAAGUCAGGGAGUUGCCGGUGGCAAGACCAUUUACCAAAACUUGAUUAAAACACUUUGUCUGAAUCUUUUGCUUCAAUGAAAUAAAACUUUCAACAACGGAUCUCUAGGCUCUUGCAUCGAUGAAGAACGCAGUGAAAUGCGAUAAGUAAUGUGAAUUGCAGAAUCUCGUGAAUCAUCGAAUCUUUGAACGCACAUUGCGCCCUAUGGUAUUCCGUAGGGCAUGCCUGUCUGAGCGUCAGCUCCCCCCACACUCAAGUAUCUGUUUUCUUGGAUUCUUGGAAUGAUUUGGAUAGGUGUCUUGUCAUAGGAGACACCCUCCAGAAAUUCAUAGGCAGUAUGGUUUGCACCUGAACCAGACGUAAUAAUAAUAAAAUCGUUUAUUUGGGUAUGAUCGUGCUUGCCCUUAACCCACCCAUUUCUUUGUUUGGGUGACCUCAGAUCAGGUAGGGAUACCCGCUGAACUUAAGCAUAUCAAUAAGCGGAGGAAAAGAAACCAACAGGGAUUGCCCUAGUAACGGCGAGUGAAGCGGCAAAAGCUCAGAUUUGAAAUCUGUCGCCAUUUUGGCGUCCGAGUUGUAGUCUGUAGAGGUGUAUUCGAGUGUGGCUUUGGCUUAAGUUCCUUGGAACAGGGCGUCAUAGAGGGUGAGAACCCCGUUAACGGCCGUUGUCUUAUGCUCAUGUGAAUCUCCUUCAACGAGUCGAGUUGUUUGGGAAUGCAGCUCUAAAUGGGUGGUAAAUUCCAUCUAAAGCUAAAUACUGGCAAGAGACCGAUAGCGCACAAGUAGAGUGAUCGAAAGAUGAAAAGAACUCUGAACAGAGAGUUAAAUAGUACGUGAAAUUGUUGAAAGGGAAGCACUUCCGACCAGACGCACUUGCAGCCGAUCAAUCUUCAUUCUUGAGGGUGCACUCGGUUGUCUGUGGGUCAGCAUCAGUUAUGGCGGUGGGAAAAAGACUGAGGGAAUGUGGCUCCUUUCGGGGAGUGUUAUAGCCUUUGGUGCAAUGCUGCCUGUUGUGACUGAGGACCGCGCUUCGGCGAGGAUGCUGGCAUAAUGGUCGUAAGUGACCCGUCUUGAAACACGGACCAAGGAGUCUAACAUCUAUGCGAGUGUUUGGGUGUUCAAACCCUUACGCGGAAUGAAAGUAAACGGAGGUGGGAACCGCAAGGUGCACCAUCGACCGAUCCUGAUGUUUUCGGAUGGAUUUGAGUAGGAGCAUAGCUGUUGGGACCCGAAAGAUGGUGAACUAUGCCUGAAUAGGGUGAAGCCAGAGGAAACUCUGGUGGAGGCUCGCAGCGGUUCUGACGUGCAAAUCGAUCGUCAAAUUUGGGUAUAGGGGCGAAAGACUAAUCGAACCAUCUAGUAGCUGG
rnacentral:rRNA from 1 species